AGAGUUUGAUCCUGGCUCAGGAUAAACGCUGGCGGCGCACAUAAGACAUGCAAGUCGAACGAACUUAAUCGAUUCUUUUAGAUUCGAAGCGGUUAGUGGCGGACUGGUGAGUAACACGUAAGCAACCUACCUGUUAGAGGGGAAUAACAGUGAGAAAUCACUGCUAAAACCGCAUAUGCCGUGAACAUCGCAUGAUGAAAACGGGAAAAGAGCAAUCUGCUAAUAGAUGGGCUUGCGUCUGAUUAGCUAGUUGGUGUGGUAAAGGCAUACCAAGGCAACGAUCAGUAGCCGGACUGAGAGGUUGAACGGCCACAUUGGGACUGAGAUACGGCCCAGACUCCUACGGGAGGCAGCAGUCGGGAAUAUUGCGCAAUGGAGGAAACUCUGACGCAGUGACGCCGCGUAUGGGAAGAAGGUUUUCGAAUUGUAAACCAUUUUAGACAAGGAAGAAACAAGACAGUACUUGUAGAAUAAGCUCCGGCUAACUACGUGCCAGCAGCCGCGGUAAUACGUAGGGAGCAAGCGUUAUCCGGAUUUAUUGGGUGUAAAGGGUGCGUAGACGGGAAGGUAAGUUAGUUGUGAAAUCCCUCGGCUCAACUGAGGAACUGCGACUAAAACUGCUUUUCUUGAGUGCUGGAGAGGAAAGUGGAAUUCCUAGUGUAGCGGUGAAAUGCGUAGAUAUUAGGAGGAACACCAGUGGCGAAGGCGGCUUUCUGGACGACAACUGACGCUGAGGCGCGAAAGUGUGGGGAGCAAACAGGAUUAGAUACCCUGGUAGUCCACACCGUAAACGAUGGAUACUAGGUGUAGGAGAUAUUAAGUCUUCUGUGCCGUCGCAAACGCAGUAAGUAUCCCACCUGGGGAGUACGGCCGCAAGGUUGAAACUCAAAGGAAUUGACGGGGGCCCGCACAAGCAGUGGAGUAUGUGGUUUAAUUCGACGCAACGCGAAGAACCUUACCAAGGCUUGACAUAUACAGGAAUAUAUAAGAAAUUAUAUAGCUCUUCGGAGUCUGUAUACAGGUGGUGCAUGGUUGUCGUCAGCUCGUGUCGUGAGAUGUUGGGUUAAGUCCC
rnacentral:rRNA from 1 species